UAUGUACCCAACUUAUGAAACUAGAGUUAUUCCCGUGUGAGUAGACCAACUCGUCUAGCAUUUUUAUAUUGCCAUCAUGCCAAAGUUGCUUGAUAAGAUAUUUCAAUACUGGAAACAUGCAUCACAAACUGAGUUUGGAAGGCAUGGAUAAUCAUUUAUAACAUCAAUAAAAUUGUGGCCUUAUGGUUAACGCUUUGUGCUAUCAUUGGCUGAUGUGGAUCCACAGCUUGUGAUGGAAGAUGAAAGCUUUGUUUGGAUCGGAAAUGAUGUUGUCAUAGUGCUUGAGCACAAAAGUCAAAAUAUACCUCCGAGUUAUGUUUCUGAAACGGAGAGAAGAUAUGGUAUUCCAUCACAAGCACAACGCU